rnacentral:rRNA from 1 species
GACGAACGCUGGCGGCGUGGAUUAGGCAUGCAAGUCGAACGGUAUCAUCCUUUCGGGGGUGAGAGAGUGGCGAACUGGUGAGUAACACGUAGGUUAUCUACCCUCAAGACGGGGACAACCCAGGGAAACUUGGGCUAAUACCGGAUGUGAGCAACUUUUAGUUGUUUGAAAGGUGGCGUAAGCUGUCGCUUGGGGAUGAGCCUGCGUCCUAUUAGUUAGUUGGUGAGGUAACGGCUCACCUAGGCAAUGAUAGGUAGGCGGCCUUAACGGGUGGUCGCCCACACUGGGAUUGAGAUACGGCCCAGACUCCUACGGGAGGCAGCAGUCGAGAAUAGUCUACAAUGGUCGGAAGACUGAUAGUGCGACGCCGCGUGAACGAUGAAUCCCUUCGGGGUGUAAAGUUCUUUUAUAUGUGAGCAGUGCUUCUUAUAUUAACAGUAUGGGGAGAGAGAUAUUAGCAUAUGAAUAAGCAACGGCUAAACUCCGUGCCAGCAGCCGCGGUAAACUCG